rnacentral:rRNA from 1 species
UUUUCGCGAAGAACCUUACCAAAUCUUGACAUCCUUUGACCGCUCUAGAGAUAGAGUCUUCCCCUUCGGGGGACAAAGUGACAGGUGGUGCAUGGUUGUCGUCAGCUCGUGUCGUGAGAUGUUGGGUUAAGUCCCGCAACGAGCGCAACCCUUAAGCUUAGUUGCCAUCAUUAAGUUGGGCACUCUAGGUUGACUGCCGGUGACAAACCGGAGGAAGGUGGGGAUGACGUCAAAUCAUCAUGCCCCUUAUGAUUUGGGCUACACACGUGCUACAAUGGAUAAUACAAAGGGCAGCGAAUCCGCGAGGCCAAGCAAAUCCCAUAAAAUUAUUCUCAGUUCGGAUUGUAGUCUGCAACUCGACUACAUGAAGCUGGAAUCGCUAGUAAUCGUAGAUCAGCAUGCUACGGUGAAUACGUUCCCGGGUCUUGUACACACCGCCCGUAA